UAGAAUUAUAAAGUAUGUUGCUAUUUGUGAAAUAAGAGCAUUAAAUUAUUUGUGAAAUAAGAACAUUAAAUGGUAUGUUAUACUUGCAAACCAUAACGAUGUAAUUAUUUUAGUAUAUAGUGAACCUUAAAUGAUAAAUAAUAUAUUUGGCUUUGCAAAGUUUGCAUGACAUUCUAGUUCAAAAUAUGCAUCAUUCCAUUGAGAUACAAAAUAACAAUUAAACAUUUAUGGUCACACAGAAUUUGAAUAUUCAAUCUCACCCCAAAAAUUCCACAAAAAGAAACAAAUGAGAAAGCUGCCUAAAACCCCAGCUUCUCAAAAUCACAAGAAACCUUCUAAAAAACUUAUACUCCAUGCAUUGCCAUCUGCAAAUGUCUGUGUUGAAUCCCUUGUUACCUUCUCCUUUACAACACACGAGCCACUUUCCAAAUUCCUGUCAAAUACAUGAAAUGGUUAAUGGAUAAAAAUGGAAACAGGAUGCUCAUAACAACAAUCUAGAUAUGCAAUGCAGUGUAACUAAGAAUGUAUAGCACUAUCAAUCUUGCAAUGUGUAACUUGUACAAUCAAGAGCUGGUUUUGUGCCACUUUAAGCUUUUCAUGUUGCAGCUGUAUUAACUUACUGGCUGGCAGUACUUGCACCAGUCAGUUCGGCCAGUUGCCAUGGCAUCAUCAGAGAUACUAUUGAAACAAUUGGACUGAAAAUAACAAAUAUGAUAUGACAGGUAUUAAUCUACUUGCCCUAAAAAUUGUUCAAAUUUUCGUAUUACAACUUUUCCAGUACUUGAAGAAGAAGUCUAUGGAUUCAACCUAAGCUCGAGAUACGAAGUCAUGACAUAACUGGACUGAAAAUAAACUAUUACAUACAAGCUCUGAACCACAAUAACGCUCAAUUGAGUUACGUAUGAGAAAAAAAAAUAGAGAUCGAAUAAAAACUCAUGAUCAAAGAAACAAUACCUGCGUUGAAACUAACAGAGCGAUUCGAUGUUUCCAAACGAUAUGGAGAGAGAAAUUUACUCCAUGCCGAUCCAGUGACUGAUUGAACAACUAUUCUAUGUGAAAUAGAUGAACAGAAAUGAAGUAGGGCAUCUGGCUAGCGAUGAUGCACCCGGAGUGGCAAAUGUAGUCAUAGUUGCUUAUGGCGAAACUGUCGUAAUCACCUGCAACUUCCGGUAGCAAGAACUAGGGUUAGCGGUGGUGUUGUCUUAUAACGGGCGAUUAGGUUUUCG
rnacentral:lncRNA from 1 species